GUCCUGGCUCAGAUUGAACGCUGGCGGGAUGCUUUACAUGCAAGUCGAACGGCAGCACGGACUUCGGUCUGGUGGCGAGUGGCGAACAGGUGAGUAAUGUAUCGGAACGUGCCUAUUAGCGGGGGAUAACCACGCGAAAAGCGUAGCUAAAAUACCGCAUACGCCCUUCGGGGGAAAGCGGGGGACCUUCCGGGCCUCGCACUAUUAGAGCGGCCGAUAUCGGAUUAGCUAGUUGGUGGGAGUAACGGCUCACCAAGGCGACGAUCCGUAGCUGGUUUGAGAGGACGACCAGCCACGCUGGGACUGGACGGCGGGCCUACGGGAGGCAGCAGUGGGGAAUUUUGGACAAUAGAGCCUGAUCCAGCCAUCGCGUGUGCGAUAAAGGCCAGCUUCGGGUUGUAAAGCACUUUUGGCAGGAAAGAAACGGCACGGGAUAAUACCCCGUGCAACUGACGGUACCUGCAGAAUAAGCACCGGCUAACCCGUGCCGGCAACCGCGGUAUUACGUAAGUGCAGCGUUAAUCGGAAUUACUGGGCGUAAAGCGUGCGCAGGCGGUUCGGAAAAGAAGAUGUGAAAUCCCAGAGCUUAACUUUGGAACUGCAUUUUUAACUUUAAGUAAGAUAACAGAGAAGUGGAAUUCCGCAAUGUAGCAGUGAAAUGCGUAGAUAUGCGGAGGAGCACCGAUGGCGAAGGCAACCUCCUGGAAGGAUAACACUGGCCCAUCCUUUUCAACAGUAGAGGGCAAACAGGAUUAGAUACCCUGGUAGUCCACGCCUAAACGAUGUCAACUAGCUGUUGGGGCCUUCGGGCCUUGGUAGCGCAGCUAACGCGUGAAGUUGACCGCCUGGGGGAAGUACGGUCGCAAGAUUAAAACUCAAAGGAAUUGACGGGGACCCGCACAAGCGGUGGAUGAUGUGGAUAAUUCGAUGCACCCAGCGCGAAAAACCUUACCUACGCCGAAACCAUGUCUGGGAUCCCGAAGAGAUUUGGGAGUGCUCGCAAGAGAACCGGAACACAGGUGCUGCAUGGCUGUCGUCAGCUCGUGUCGUGAGAUGUUGGGUUAAGUCCCGCAACGAGCGCAACCCUUGUCAUUAGUUGCUACGAAAGGGCACUCUAAUGAGACUGCCGGUGACAAACCGGAGGAAGGUGGGGAUGACGUCAAGUCCUCAUGGCCCUUAUGGGUAGGAGGAAAACCACCAUCGCUUACAAUGGUCAGGACAGAGGGUCGCCAGCCCGAGGGGGAGCCAAUCCCGAAACCCCGAUCGUCUAGAUCAUGAUCUACACAACUCGGCUGCGUGUGAUCGGAAUCGCUUCAGCCAAUCGCGGAUAAGCAUGUCGCGGUGGGCCAUUGGUCUUCACCUGCCACCGCCGUCACACCAUGGGAGUGGUUUACCAGAAGUAGUUAGCCUAACCGUAAGGAGGCGAUUACCACAGUAGGAUUCAUGACUGGGGUGAAGUCGUAACAAGAUAG
rnacentral:rRNA from 1 species